UACGUAGGAGACGAGCGUUGUCCGGAAUUACUGGGCGUAAAGCGCGUGUAGGCGGAUGAGCAAGUCUGCUGUGAAAGCUCCUGGCUUAACCGGGAGUGGUCGGUGGAAACUGCUCGUCUGGAGGACGGUAGAGGUAGGUAGAAUUCCCGGUGUAGUGGUGAAAUGCGUAGAGAUCGGGAGGAAUACCUGUGGCGAAGGCGGCCUACUGGGUCGGACCUGACGCUGAGACGCGAAGGCGUGGGGAGCGAACGGG
rnacentral:rRNA from 1 species